rnacentral:rRNA from 1 species
UCUGAUGUUAGCGGCGGACGGGUGAGUAACACGUGGAUAACCUACCUAUAAGACUGGGAUAACUUCGGGAAACCGGAGCUAAUACCGGAUAAUAUUUUGAACCGCAUGGUUCAAAAGUGAAAGACGGUCUUGCUGUCACUUAUAGAUGGAUCCGCGCUGCAUUAGCUAGUUGGUAAGGUAACGGCUUACCAAGGCAACGAUGCAUAGCCGACCUGAGAGGGUGAUCGGCCACACUGGAACUGAGACACGGUCCAGACUCCUACGGGAGGCAGCAGUAGGGAAUCUUCCGCAAUGGGCGAAAGCCUGACGGAGCAACGCCGCGUGAGUGAUGAAGGUCUUCGGAUCGUAAAACUCUGUUAUUAGGGAAGAACAUAUGUGUAAGUAACUGUGCACAUCUUGACGGUACCUAAUCAGAAAGCCACGGCUAACUACGUGCCAGCAGCCGCGGUAAUACGUAGGUGGCAAGCGUUAUCCGGAAUUAUUGGGCGUAAAGCGCGCGUAGGCGGUUUUUUAAGUCUGAUGUGAAAGCCCACGGCUCAACCGUGGAGGGUCAUUGGAAACUGGAAAACUUGAGUGCAGAAGAGGAAAGUGGAAUUCCAUGUGUAGCGGUGAAAUGCGCAGAGAUAUGGAGGAACACCAGUGGCGAAGGCGACUUUCUGGUCUGUAACUGACGCUGAUGUGCGAAAGCGUGGGGAUCAAACAGGAUUAGAUACCCUGGUAGUCCACGCCGUAAACGAUGAGUGCUAAGUGUUAGGGGGUUUCCGCCCCUUAGUGCUGCAGCUAACGCAUUAAGCACUCCGCCUGGGGAGUACGACCGCAAGGUUGAAACUCAAAGGAAUUGACGGGGACCCGCACAAGCGGUGGAGCAUGUGGUUUAAUUCGAAGCAACGCGAAGAACCUUACCAAAUCUUGACAUCCUUUGACAACUCUAGAGAUAGAGC